UAAAAACAUUCAUUAAUUUGAUAAUCACUUCAUCUCAGAUCAAUUGAAAGACUGAGAGGAAAUGCUUCUUCAGCAAAUUUCCCACAUUUGCAAAAUCUUUACAGACAUUUUGAGUAUAAAGUGCAUCCUGUCUUCUACAGCAUUUUUUAAAGUCUAGGGACAUGUGUGUAUUGGUGUGUAUGUGUAUGUGUGUCCUUUGCAGGUAAAGGUAGCCCUGAUGGUGGGGAAACAGAGUGGGGAGGAAAUGGGGGAAGUGGUUUUUCCACUGUCGGCACUGAUGUGGCCAUCCUUUGAGAGCAGAAGAAGCGGAGAGGAAGAAAUGUGCUUUGCCAGCAAAAGAAAAAGGAAAAGGCAGCAUCUGGCGCUGAAGUGCAGUUUCAGCAGGGAGCUGGUGGCAUUCACAGAAGUUCAGACCGCUUCACAGAAACGUAUGAGGGCAGCUUAUCUGGCAGGCGCACGCACACACACACACACACACACACACACACACACACACACACGGAGCAGGUUGAUAGUGCUGACAGCAGGGGAGCAUCGCUGGCGUCUCUGCUGUGUGUGGAGCAGCUCUGCCGAGGCUUCAGGGUGGCCUCGCUGUGCACCUCAGAGACUGGUUAGUUAGACAUCUCUGUGUCUGCGUGUGUGGCAUUCGGUGACUGAUGGCAGGUCCUGGCUGCAGGCUGCUCCGGCUCGCUUGUGUCACACUUGCUCUGACAGCCAACUGUGCUGCAGUGACAGCAGCCGCUCAGAGAGUCACAGCUGUUACAGCAACUACAGCCACUGAUACGGAACGUGCUCCACACAGCUCGCGGGUGGCUGCCGUGCUGGCACCAUGUAUGGUCGCCUUGGCGAUAGUGGUGAUGCUGGGGUUGGCGCUUGCUGCAGCCAAACUGCGUGAGAGGCGGCAGACGGAGGGAGGUUUCAGCCCGCGGCAGCUCGAGGCUCCUGGUGGUCGCAACCCACCUGCUGAGCUGGGAAACAUAUCCAUCAGCACGCUGGCAGCACGCGUGGAGAGCCUGGUGUAGUGUGAAGGAGUCAGGGGAGGAAAAAGUGUGUGAGGAAAAAUGGGUGUGGAAAAAAAACUGACCUCUGAAGGUUUGACCUCCAACCUCUUGCUGUCCAUCAGUUUGGCGUCCAUCAUCCUGCUGCUGGUGCUGAUCUUGACCUCUGUUGGCUUAGUGGUGGCACUAAAUCGGCGCGCCACACACGGCGCGUACAGUCCCAGCCGGCAGGAGAAGGACGGAUCCCGGGUGGAGAUGUGGAGCAUCACACAGCCGCCGCCGAUGGAGAGACUCAUAUGAGAUGCAGGUGUUUUGUUUUUUUUGGAGGAUGUUAAUCUGCUGACUGUUGGUAAUCAGAGAAAUUAAACCAUGAGAUUAAUCUAAUAGCAGCAGAUGGAUCAGACCCUGCUGGCUGCAUGGAAAUGUUUUACACUGCUGCUUUCUUUCAUGCAAUCCCUUUUAUCCAACUUCCUGUGUGUGCUGUAGGAAAAAUCACAACUUCACAGUUUCUGAAAAUCUGCAAGACAGCUUUAAGUACACAAACUUUUGAAACUAGAAAAAAACAGAAAAUGUAUAUUUAAGUUGAUGAUAUUCCUCCUAUUUGUGUGUUUUUAAGAAUUUUAAGUAUUCAUGAUUUUGUUACAACCACAAACUUCAAUGUAUUUUAUUGGUAUUUAAUGCAAUAAAUUGGUUACACUUGUUUUUUGAGAGGUAUCAGGGGCUGAAUACAUAUGCACAUCACAAUCAGUACAUUUUGUAGACGUACCAGAAAUAGUCAUUUAUCUCGUUAAUGAUGUUAGACUGCUUUUAUUUUGAACACAGCUGUAUGUGAUUUAGAUGCAAGCCACAAUUUUUUGUAUUUCAUUUGUAAUAAACAUUUAUCCUUUUUUUCCCAUUCCACAUCUAUGCGUCUUUGUAUAGGUCUAUACCACUAAAAUACUAAAAUACACUGAAGUCUGUGGUAAUGUGGGUACAUGUGAGAAGUAUGGGAGUACUGAUUCAACUGAUUGUGUGGUACUUGAUAAUUGAUUAUUGUUGGUGAAGGUUUUAUUUUUUUCAUUAUGGCUUCUUUCACAGAAAAAGUUCCAUGAAUUUAUUAAAACGGUAAUUACAUGAAAAAAGCCUGAUGUGUUUUAAACAGGCCAGUGUAUAUGGGCUUGUAAUUAUUUUAUUUUUAAAAGAAGUAAAUGACAUUUUGCUUAACUUUUUAUUUCUUUAAAUGUAAUUUGCUGAUUAAUACAAAUUUUUAUUGGUUUAAUGUCUGAAAAGUCAUGUAUAAAUCCAUUAAGAUAUUAAAAUGUUCUGAUACAUAUUGAAGGCCAAAUGUGCCGUAGACCAUGCAUAAAUAAGGUAAAUAAUUGUUUAUAUAUGUAAUCAUUUAAAAAAGGCCUUGAAUUAAACAAUUAAACAAAACUAUAGCAAU